rnacentral:rRNA from 1 species
GACGAACGCUGGCGGCGUGCUUAACACAUGCAAGUCGAACGGUAAGGCCCUUCGGGGUACACGAGUGGCGAACGGGUGAGUAACACGUGGGUGAUCUGCCCUGCACUUCGGGAUAAGCCUGGGAAACUGGGUCUAAUACCGGAUAGGACCACUGCCUGCAUGGGUGGUGGUGGAAAGCUUUUGCGGUGUGGGAUGGGCCCGCGGCCUAUCAGCUUGUUGGUGGGGUGAUGGCCUACCAAGGGGACGACGGGUAGCCGGCCUGAGAGGGUGACCGGCCACACUGGGACGGAGAUACGGCCGAGACUCCUACGGGAGGCAGCAGUGGGGAAUAUUGCACAAUGGGCGCAAGCCUGAUGCAGCGACGCCGCGUGAGGGAUGACGGCCUUCGGGUUGUAAACCUCUUUCAGCACCGACGAAGCGCAAGUGACGGUAGGUGCAGAAGAAGGACCGGCCAACUACGUGCCAGCCGCCGCCGUAA